AUUGAACGCUGGCGGCAGGCCUAACACAUGCAAGUCGAACGAGUGGCGGACGGGUGAGUAAUGUCUGGGAAACUGCCCGAUGGAGGGGGUUAACUACUGGAAACGGUAGCUAUUACCGCAUACUAUCAGAUGUGCCCAGAUGGGAUUAGCUAGUUGGUGGGGUAACGGCUCACCAAGGCGACGAUCCGUAGCUGGUCUGAGAGGGUGACCAGCCAGCCUGGAACUGAGGCACGGUCGCAACUCCUGCGGGAGGAAACAGUGGAGAAUAUUGCGCGAUGGGGGCGAGCGUGAUGCAGCCAUGCGGCGGGUACGAAGAACGACUUAGGGUGGGAGAGUACUUACAGCGGGGAGGCGUUACCCGCAGAAGAAGCACCGGCUAACUCCGUGCCAGCAGCCGCGGUAAUAC
rnacentral:rRNA from 1 species